UGCCUUCGGUUUGGAUAGCCGUUGCAUUCUUGAAAGCCUUGGUAGUUUCAACGUCCCUUCACUCAAUUUCCGGUCCUCAUUGGUCCACGCGUCAUCCAUGAUUUAAACCCCUGACCUCAAAGAAAUGUUGGGUCAUUUUUGGAUUAUUAAUUACCGAAAAAAAAAUAAAAUCCAUGAAUUGCAUUGUCAAAAUUCUCAAAUCACCACCACCACCUUUGCUAAUGGAGCCCCCACCACAAUCCUCAUUACUUCUCUUACUCAGUCUCUCUGCAUCUGCAUUGCAGAGAGCUCAUGUCUGCCACUUUCACUACUCUCACCCAACCCAUGAUUUUCUUUUGAUCUUUUGAUUCGCUGGCGGCCAGCCAAGCUAAUUGCCUUUUUUCUGUUUUCAUUCAGUCGGCUAAUACCUAUUCCAUGGACUAAUCGUGCAGAUCACAUGCAUUCAAAAGUCUCAAAAAGGCACAACAUUAAAGUACCCACUGCUCUUGGUUAUUUAUAACAGCUCUCCCGUGUCUUAGCCACGGAAGUCUUAUGCUUGAUGAUAGCCUCAGAAGGCAUUGCAUAAUAGACGAUGGUGUUUUCCCGCGCAAAAUCCUUCUUCCAUAGAUUCUGCAGUGACGAAUUCCGAAUGGAAAGCAGUAGCUAUGGCUUCUCCAAUGAUUUACUAUUGCCAUCCCUUGGCACCCGAAUCAACCAAACUACCAGGCUUCGGAAAUUCAUUGUUUCUCCUUUCGACCAGAGAUAUAGAGCAUGGGAGAUGUUUCUGAUUCUUCUGGUCAUAUACUCUGCCUGGAUUUGCCCCUUCGAAUUUGGUUUCCUAAGAUACAAACCAGACACACUGUUCAUCAUCGACAAUAUCGUCAAUAGCUUCUUUGCUGUUGAUAUCAUUCUCACCUUCUUCGUUGCAUAUAUUGAUCGCCGAUCCUAUCUUCUGAUAGAUGGUCCCAAGAAAAUUGCAAUCAGGUACCUGUCCACUUGGUUUGUCUUCGAUGUCUGUUCGACAGUGCCUUUACAACCUCUCAGUCUCCUCUUCACAAAUCAAAGCGCCGGCCUAGGAUUUAAAAUACUCAAUAUGCUCCGGCUCUGGCGCCUACGGCGGGUUAGCUCUCUGUUUGCAAGACUUGAGAAGGACAUCCGUUUCAAUUACUUCUGGACUCGGUGCACAAAGCUUGUCUCAGUCACUCUGUUUGCAGUUCACUGUGCCGCAUGCUUGAACUAUCUGAUUGCUGACAGAUACCCAAAUCCAAACAGAACUUGGAUUGGUGCAGUAAUGCCGGAUUUCAAAGAAAAGAGUCUCCGGAUAAGAUAUGUGAUGGCAAUGUACUGGUCUAUUACAACCCUGACAACAACUGGGUAUGGUGACUUGCAUGCAGAAAACCCUGGAGAGAUGUUGUUUGAUAUUUUCUACAUGCUUUUCAACUUGGGGCUGACAGCUUACCUCAUCGGGAACAUGACAAACCUUGUCGUCCAUGGGACCAGCCGCACCAGAAACUUCAGGGAUACUGUUCGAGCUGCUUCUGAAUUCGCAGCUCGAAAUCGGUUGCCACGGCGCAUAGAGGAACAAAUGCUGUCCCACAUAUGUCUCAGGUUCAAAACAGAAGGACUGAAACAACAACAGACAUUAAAUGAUCUCCCAAAAGCCAUUCGGUCAAACAUAGCACACACUCUGUUCUUCCCCAUUGCUAAAAAAGUCCAUCUUUUUCAAGGGGUUUCUUAUGAUUUCCUUUUCCAACUGGUUACAGAAAUGCAGGCUGAAUACUUUCCACCCAAGGAAGAUGUUAUACUCCAGAAUGAGGCUCCAACAGAUCUUUAUAUAUUGGUAUCAGGAUCAGUGGAUUUGAUACAAUAUAUUGAUGGGAGUGAUCAAGUACAGGUUCAGAGAAAGGCAGCUGUGGGGCAAAUGUUUGGGGAGAUAGGGGUUUUAUGCCAGAGGCCACAACCAUUCACUGCACGGACAUGCGAGCUUUCUCAAAUUCUACGGCUAAGCAGGAUUUCACUCAUGAACGUCAUUCAGGCAAACAUGGAAGAUGGAAGUGUCCUCAUGAGCAACUUUUUGCAGCAACUGAAGGGAUUCGAAGGCUUGAAUUACAAAGACCCACAUGUGGAUCCACGGUUUGUCCUCAAAGAAUGGCUUGACGGACGACCUAUAGGAGGAAGCCAUUGUUCUCAUGUAGGAUAUCAUGAUGAUUAUCCAUGUAGAAACCCAUCAACAACAGAUCAUGGAAUCCUAUGUGAGGCUGCAGAGAAGGGUGAGCUAAACACAAUUUGUCAUCUUGUGGAGUAUGGAGAUGAUAUAAAUUCAACAGACUUGGGCGGCCAAACAGCCCUCCAUGUUGCUGCACGCAAGGGGCAUCUAGAAAUGGUCAGAAUUUUGCUGGAAAGAGGAGCCGACGUGAAUAAAAUGGAUGCUGGUGGGCGGACGCCAAAAGUAAUUGCAGAGGAACAGGGAUGGAAAGACAUCUACAAUAUCUUACAAUGUUAUGAAAACAAAGACAAGAACAUAGAGGAUCAUAAAAUAGAAUUAAGUAACACAGAAACACUAAAUUACAGAAGGUAUAGUAAAUGUCAAAGCAAGAUAAGAGGGAGCCCUGACCUUGUAGAGUCUUGUUUCAAGAAGACAGCAAUGAAUUGCUAUUCAAACAGUGGUAACCAUCUCAAUGAUAAUGAAGUCAUGAAACUGACCAACAAAAGGGUCACAAUCCAAAUGUGUUUCGGAAGGGCAAAUGCAUCAAGGGGGCAGCUAGGGAAGUUAAUACUCCUACCAGAUUCUAUAGAAGAGCUCCUCAGAAUAGGCGGUAAGUCUUGUUUGCUUUCAUAAGAGUAUUUGAUUAUUGAACUGGAAACUCCACCAGAGAAACUAUGAUUAUUUUCAAAUCCAAUCUCAUUAGCAUAAAUAAUAAUGAGAUAUGAUUCUAUGAAAAUACCAGUGAGAAAAGGAUUUCAGAUGCUACUGUGUGAAGAUCCAGGCUGCUCAUCAGGUAGCUUGAUUUUGGUCACAGCAAAUAUAUGGUGGAUCUCACUUGAUGAACGGCCUGGAUCUCACAAACAUGCUGCAUUGGAAUGUAGGGAGAGUAGGAUUUGAGAUCCUAACUGUGCAAGUUGUAUAAGCAGACCUCUAAAAUAACAUAGAUUUUUUAUUUUUAUUUUUUUAAAAUGAGCUGGAAUAUAAUCCAGAGUUUCCAAACUUGCACCGGGAUUGAUGAAGUAAAUCAGGUAUGAUUGGUCUUGCUUAUAAUCUCUUCAUGGAUUGUAUCAAUCUUGCAAAACUGCAGGUCAAAAGUUUGCAGGCAGCCAUCCUACAAAAGUGGUCAGUGCAGAGAAUGCAGAAAUUGAAGACAUAGAUGUUAUCCGAGAUGGGGAUCAUCUGUUUCUCCUUGAAAAUGAGUGAGAAGCUAUAGAAAGUAAUGUGGUAUAGCCAUUUCUGAAAUGCUAUAGUGUAGGAAAGCGGAUUUGCAAGUGUAUGCAGUGUAGAGUGAGUAAAUCCCAAUAUAUCAUUUU